rnacentral:misc_RNA from 1 species
GGGCGUUAAGAGGUGAAAGAGAACUGCAACGCAAUCCACGACCUGGCAACUCUGGCGAAUGUAGAGGUGCUAGACUCUGGAGGUCUUACAUACGUACAGUUGAUGCGGUAAAGGUGGUGGUGGUGGUGUUGGUGGUUGGUUGCUACAGCGUUCACUUGCAGAAACCAAGCUUCGCGUUUGACCUGCGUUUCCAUGGCACCGUGUGACGCCCCUUGGGACCGAGGAGCAAACACCCUUCGUGAAAGAAAAGACAUCAGAGAGCAGCCAGGAAGCUGUGAAAUUCGCAGCCAUGGAGGGGUGGCUGGCUGGCUGGCUGCGCCGUCAGGAUCGAGGUAUCUACAAAAACAGCAAAGAAGCGUUCCUGGCGCUGGUUGGAUUCUCCGUCGGGCUGGGCAACUUUUGGCGGUUUCCCACUUCGGCUUUCGAGUUUAAAGGAGCCACGUUCCUGAUAGCGUACAUCAUCUGCCUUUUGAGUAUGGGCCUGCCUCUGCUCAUUCUGGAGAUCUCUCUGGGCCAGUACCACCAACGUGGACCAGCACACAUUUUUUCACGCAUGUGCAGGCCCCUCUCAGGAGUGGGUUGGGCAAUGGUGUUGCAGCUUCUCAUGAUCUCUGUGUAUUACAACGUCAUUCUGAGUUGGAGUCUUUUCUACCUUGGAGGAAGCUUUUUGUCGCCCAUCCCUUGGUCACCCUGCAAAGGAAAAGAGUACGACUGCAUGCAUUAUACAAUGGAAGAUGCGUUUGAAAGUGCCAACCGUUAUUUCAAUGAGAGUAUUGGCGGCUUAUCCACAGAAACUGAGCACCCAUACGAAAUGCACCAUUGGCUAAUGCUGUGCCUGGGUGUGGCGUGGGUGCUCGUGAUUGUGUGUCUGAUCCAGGGAGUCAGACACAGUGGCAAAGUCUUCUACGUGACGGUUUUGUAUCCCUACGUGGUGCUACUGUGUCUCUUCGGCUUGAACUACAAAUACAUCAAGCAAGACGAUUUGCUCAACAACCUAAUCACUGUGGAAGUGGAAAGCCUCAAAGAGCUGAAGAUCUACAGCGAGGCCGCCUCACAGGUUAUCUACUCCCUUGGUGUUGGACAUGGCAUUGUUAUGGUCGCCUCGCACAAUCGGGUGGAGCAAAACGUCAUCAGGGACUCCAUUCUGCUGUGCCUGUUGGACGUGGUCACAUCUUUUUUCUGCAUGCAAGUUGUGUACAGCGUUAGGUUGUCCAUCUCACCUGACAAGAUCAAAGACAUCAAUGACAUCUCCGGUUUGGUCUUCAAGCUGUUCUCUUCCCUACUUGCUUACGAAAACACCUCCUUGUGGGCCUUCCUCUUCUUCUCCUUGAUCUUUGCCCUUGGAUUCGAUAGUCAGUUACUAAUGGUGUCGGGAGUGACGACGACCAUUUAUGACCAGUAUCCGAAGCUGCGUCCCUACCACUCCUUCGUCAUCGCCUUCACCUGCCUCGUCUUCUUCCUUCUCGGCCUCACCAUGUGCACAAAGAGUGGCAUCAUCAUCUUCAGUAUGAUGGACACCUACACCACCAGACACUCAAUGCUCUUCUUGACGCUGCUGGAGGAUAUCGGAAGGUACUCAACAUAAUGAAGGAUAAUCUCGGGUUGUGUCUUCCGCGGCCUAUUCGUUGGUAUCUCAUUGUCACCUGGACCUUUCUCACGCCUGUCUAUUUGGCAGUCACGUUUGGUUACUUUCUGUACGCCGAAGAGUGGAGGGGACCAAAGGAUAUAUAUUUCAUCUUUGGCCAAGUGAUUGCCUUCGGCCCGAUGGUGCUGGUGCCUGUCUUCGCCUUAUACGCCGCCUGCACCAAGG